rnacentral:lncRNA from 10 species
GUUUUGGAGGCUCCUAAAAAUGACAGAUAAAUGAACUAACCUAAUCAGCAAAAUUAAACUAUAGGAAAGAGUAUGGACCUUGAAAAGACAGCUUAGCCAGCUUGACGACUAAAGCAACACCUUUCCAAGCAACAUUGGAAAUUUGACCUCCUCAUCAGAAAAAUGUGUAUAGACAUCUCUGGAGUCAGGCUACCCCAUAUGAAGCUUGGAUUUUGGCUUCACUGUGGCUGCAGACUUCCCUGCAGAACAGCAUGGCAUCCUUCUAAGGAGUUAAGAAAAUGAUAAUAGAAGCAAGAAGGAGAUAGGAAAGUUAAG